rnacentral:rRNA from 1 species
GUGGGGAAUAUUGGGCAAUGGGCGAAAGCCUGACCCAGCAACGCCGCGUGAGGGAAGAAGGCCUUCGGGUUGUAAACCUCUGUCCUUGGUGACGAAAAAAAUGACGGUAGCCAAGGAGGAAGCCCCGGCUAACUACGUGCCAGCAGCCGCGGUAAUACGUAGGGGGCGAGCGUUGUCCGGAAUUACUGGGCGUAAAGGGUGCGUAGGUGGCCUUUUAAGUUGGAUGUGAAAUACCCGGGCUUAACUUGGGGGGUGCAUCUAAUACUGGGGGGCUAGAGUGCAGGAGAGGGAAGCGGAAUUCCUAGUGUAGCGGUGAAAUGCGUAGAUAUUAGGAGGAACACCAGUGGCGAAGGCGGCUUUCUGGACGAAAACUGACGCUGAGGCGCGAAAGCCAGGGGAGCGAACGGGAUUAGAUACCCGUGUAGUCC